rnacentral:rRNA from 1 species
GAUUAACGCUGGCGGUAUGCAUAACACAUGCAAGUGGAGCGGCGAACCAGGGCUUGCCCUGGGGCAGAGCCGCGAACGGGUGAGUAACACGUGGGUAACGUGCCCCGAUGACUGGGACAACCCGGGGAAACCCGGGCUAAUACCGGAUAUGCCCCCUGGCAUCUGUCAGGUGUGUAAAGGAAGCUUCGGCCUCCGCACCGGGAUCGGCCCGCGGCGCAUUAGCUUGUUGGUGGGGUAACGGCCUACCAAGGCAACGAUGCGUAGCUGGUCUGAGAGGACAAUCAGCCACACUGGGACUGAGACACGGCCCAGACUCCUACGGGAGGCAGCAGUGGGGAAUCUUGCACAAUGCGCGAAAGCGUGAUGCAGCAACGCCGCGUGCGGGAAGACGGCCUUCGGGUUGUAAACCGCUUUCAGUUGGGACGAAGGUCGGCGCGUUAAUAGCGGGUCCGACUGACGGUACCUUCACAAGAAGCUCCGGCUAACUACGUGCCAGCCGCCGCCGUAACAC